ensembl:lncRNA
UUUUUUUUUUUUUUUUUCGAGAUGGAGUCUUGCUCUGUUGCCCAGGCUGGAGUGCAGUGAUCUCGGCUCACUGCAGCCUCUGCCUCCCAGGUUCAGGCAAUUCUGCUUCCUGAGCCUCCUGAGUAGCUGGGAUUACAGGCGCCUGCCACCAUACCUGGCUAAUAUUUUGUAUUUUUAGUAGAGAUGGGGUUUCAUCAUGUUGGUCAGGCUGGUCUCAAACUCCUGACCUUAGGUGAUCCACCCGCCUUGGCCUCCCAAAGUGAUGGGAUUACAGGUGUGGGCCACCAUGCCUGGUCACUUUUUGCUUUUUAUCAUUGAACUGAAACUUGUUUCCAUUGUAGUUCUGUAACCCAGAAUAAGUGCAAAAUCUCAUCUCUAGAAAACGCCCAAGGAGGGUUCUAAUUAACUCCAGGGUGGUAGUGGCAGAGGAGGGGUGGAGAGGGAAGGUGUCACACUGGGGGCUGUCAAAGUCAUUUUAGCUUGCUCUAAGUUGUGUUGGCAUGCCGGGAAGCUCUUUAAUAAUAGUAGCUAUCAUCUAUUGAAUGCUUCACUAGGUGCCAGGCAUAAUGUCUAGGCAUUUGAGGGAAUUCUGAUUUCAUCUUCAUUAGGACGCUGUGCAAAAAUGGAGGCUUUGAGAGGUGAAAUGACUUGCUCAAGGUCACACAGUAAGAUAGUAAGCGGUUAGGGAGAUCAGGAUCUGACUCCGGGCUGAGUGGUUCUUCCUGCUUGGUCCGUGCCCUGUUGAGAUGUUUAUUUGAUAGGAUCCUGUGUGACUCCAGUCCCACAACUCCCUGAAAUGGAAAGGAGGUGGGAGGGUGGUCCGCCACGUUUCCUCCUGGCCCUGCCACUUGCGCAAGGCCUCUGGAUUUGGGAGGCAGAAGCUGUGGCAACUGGAAGAAGGAGAGGCUGGCACAGGGGUGUAGGUGUGUGGGUUCUGGCUGCAUGGCUGAUUCUGGAUGGUGGGGAAAGAGGUGUGCUUAGGAGGAGUCUGGCAUUUGCUGGUUUCUGACACUUCCCUCUUUUUGCCGGCAAGCCCGUCACCCACAGUCAUCUCCUGAGCACCUUCAGUGUGCCCAGAACUGUGCCGCGGUGGGCAUGGAGGUAACAUGGACCUGGACAGUGCCUGUGAGUGAUGCUGGGGGACAAGAUGCCACACCUGAGAUGAUCAGCAACAGUGCAGGCAGAAGAAAAGGCGAGGACCCAGGAGGAGGCCUGGUCUUGGGGCCACAGGUGCUUGCAGAGGAUGUGGGACUUUUAGCUCGGAUGGCAUUGAGAUUAGCAGAGUAGGCGGAGAAGCUACCCCAUUGGAAGGAAGUUUUCCUGCCUCUUGGUACUCCUUCCUUUCAGUUCACCCCUUAAAUUUCAGGGUGUCUUAUAGAAUUCGAUCUCAGGCUCUGCCCGGGUCAUACCCUCUCCCUGGACGACAGCAUCACUCUGGUGGUUCUGUCUCCCUUGGACCUGUAGAUGCCUCAGUUGUCCCAACCAGAAACCUGG